CCUACGGGGGGCAGCAGUGAGGAAUAUUGCACAAUGGGGGAAACCCUGAUGCAGCAACGCCGCGUGGCGGAUGACGCAUUUCGGUGUGUAAACUCCUUUUAUGAGUCAAGAAAAUGACGGUAGCUCAUGAAUAAGCACCGGCUAACUCCGUGCCAGCAGCCGCGGUAAUACGGAGGGUGCAAGCGUUAUUCGGAAUCACUGGGCGUAAAGGACGCGUAGGCGGGAUGCCAAGUCUGAUGUGAAAUCCUAUGGCUUAACCAUAGAACUGCAUUGGAAACUGGUAACCUAGAGUAUGGGAGGGGGAGAUGGAAUUAGUGGUGUAGGGGUAAAAUCCGUAGAUAUCACUAGGAAUACCGAAAGCGAAGGCGAUCUCCUGGAACAAUACUGACGCUAAGGCGUGAAAGCGUGGGGAGCAAACGGGAUUAGAUACCCCGGUAGUCCACGCCCUAAACGAUGAACACUAGUCGUCGGAAGGCUAGUCAUUUCGGUGAUGCACUUAACAGAUUAAGUGUUCCGCCUGGGGAGUACGGUCGCAAGAUUAAAACUCMAAAGGAAUAGACGGGGACCCGCACAAGUGGUGGAGCAUGUGGUUUAAUUCGAAGAUACGCGAAGACCUUACCUAGCCUUGACAUUGAUUGAAUACCCUAGAGAUAGAGUAGUGCCCUUCGGGGAACAUGAAAACAGGUGCUGCACGGCUGUCGUCAGCUCGUGUCGUGAGAUGUUGGGUUAAGUCCCGCAACGAGCGCAACCCUCGUCCUUAGUUGCCAGCAGGUUAAGCUGGGCACUCUAAGGAGACUGCCUUCGCAAGGAGGAGGAAGGUGAGGACGACGUCAAGUCAUCAUGGCCCUUAUGGCUAGGGCUACACACGUGCUACAAUGGGGCGUACAGAGAGUUGCGAUACCGCGAGGUGGAGCCAAUCUCAUAAAGCGUCUCUCAGUUCGGAUUGAAGUCUGCAACUCGACUUCAUGAAGCUGGAAUCACUAGUAAUCGUAGAUCAGCAAUGCUACGGUGAAUACGUUCCCGGGUCUUGUACACACCGCCCGUC
rnacentral:rRNA from 1 species